UUCCCAAAUUAAACUGAUGGAAUAUAAUGUUUGCAGAUUCUUACUUCUCCACCAACAAUUUAAUCAUUUGUCUCUGGCUAGCAAUUUAAGUGUUCUUCUCAGCUAUGUGCUUAGGGUGGGAGCAGCAAAGGAUGUAUACUGUGAAAAAUGAGUAUUCUCAUUUUGGUGCAUCUAUACCUACUAUUCGUUUGCGCCAAUUCAAGGGCAGAUAUUCUAACUGUAUAUUACCCAUCUAUUCAUCACGUUCUUCAACUCUGUAUGCAGUGCGGCCUCAAGGGAAGGUUAUUAAUGAAGCUCAAUUUGGCAAAGAGCUGCAAUCACCUGCAACCAAAUGUUUCAAUUCUCCAUUGGUUUUCUCAACAAGAGGGAGCAAGCAUAUGAAAGACUAAAAGGACAACAAGCAAAGCAAUUUAUUCAUACCAAGGUAUCCACUUCCUCUUGUAGUACUUUGGUGAUUGCAGCAUUCGUGCCUAUCAUCAUCAACUUUUGACCCUGUAGAAUACAUUUUGCAUUAAGUCAUAAUUUUAAAAUAAAACAUAGAAAUAGCAUCUCAUAUACUUGCAAAUAGCAUAGAAAAUCAGUCUCACAUCUUUCACCCCCAAAUCAGACCAAUUCCCAUUGUCCUGUAUUAUAAAGUAGAAUAGUGUUAUAAAAGUAGAUAAGAGAUUACAAUAUAAUAGUGUUAUAAAGUAGCUUCAGUGCAUAUAUAUACCAACUAUAUAAGCUCACCUCCAAUGUUCCACCCUUGCCAAUGAUCUUUUGACAUUCAGGUGGAACCCCCGUAAGUGUGUACAGCUGACUCUUGAAAACAAUUGGUGGCUGGCUAGUGUCAAUCUCCAUGCCUGCAAAAAUAAUCAUCAUUCAAAAAGUAUUUCCUUAUACUAUGGAAGCAAGAAGUUUAUGCAUGCCUGCAAAGGCUACUUGUUUAUUGUAGUUGCACGAUAAAUUAUAUACUUAGGUAAAGAUGUGUAGUUGUGUACUGCUGUGCACAUGCCACAUCAAUGGCCAAAAUGCCUAAAAGCUGUGCUGACAAUGGAUGCAAGGGGAAAGACCCUCCUAAGGAGAAAGGAGGACUGGGAAUCAAGAAAAUUAGGUUGCAAAAUGAAGCUCUGCUACUCAAGCACCUAGAUUCUAUAACAGGAAAGAUGUGCCAUGGGUUAAUCUAGUAUGACACACAUAAUACAAAGAGGGGUAGGUGCCACAUGAGACAGCAACAAGAUGCUAGCCAAAUGUAAUGUAGGUGAUCGGCAAAUGGUUAUGUUAUGGCAUGACAUAUGGAACAACCACAAUUUACAUGAGGAGCUACCAAGGUUAUACUCA